GUGGGGAGCGAACAGGAUUAGAUCCCCUGGUAGUCCACGCCGUAAACGGUGGGCACUAGGUGUGGGGGACAUUCCACGUUCUCUGUGCCGUAGCUAACGCAUUAAGUGCCCCGCCUGGGGAGUACGGCCGCAAGGUUAAAACUCAAAGGAAUUGACGGGGCCCCGCACAAGCGGCGGAGCAUGCGGAUUAAUUCGAUGCAACGCGAAGAAC
rnacentral:rRNA from 1 species